CAGCAAUGAUGAUUUCUAUAUAUCCCGAAACUGAGCAUCCAUUGAUGAUAAACUCUUUACGGAUCUGACUUCUGAGUU